AUUGUACGCUGGCGGCAGGCCUAACACAUGCAAGUCGAACGGUAACAGGAAGAAGCUUGCUUCUUUGCUGACGAGUGGCGGACGGGUGAGUAAUGUCUGGGAAACUGCCUGAUGGAGGGGGAUAACUACUGGAAACGGUAGCUAAUACCGCAUAACGUCGCAAGACCAAAGAGGGGGACCUUCGGGCCUCUUGCCAUCGGAUGUGCCCAGAUGGGAUUAGCUAGUAGGUGGGGUAACGGCUCACCUAGGCGACGAUCCCUAGCUGGUCUGAGAGGAUGACCAGCCACACUGGAACUGAGACACGGUCCAGACUCCUACGGGAGGCAGCAGUGGGGAAUAUUGCACAAUGGGCGCAAGCCUGAUGCAGCCAUGCCGCGUGUAUGAAGAAGGCCUUCGGGUUGUAAAGUACUUUCAGCGGGGAGGAAGGGAGUAAAGUUAAUACCUUUGCUCAUUGACGUUACCCGCAGAAGAAGCACCGGCUAACUCCGUG
rnacentral:rRNA from 1 species